GCUGGUCUUGAAGAGACAACUUGGCCAACCCAGAUGGUGGAGAUGCUGAAAACCUCUGGCCUACAUUACUGAAAAUUCCCAGAGGCUGCCAUGCGGGUCUGUCUCCAACUGCGGGGAAAGCGGACCACAGGGGAUUUCCUGUCUCUGCGAAGGGUUGAAGGGCAUGCACCUCUUAAGAUCGCUCCCUGCUCAGCACCCAAACUGCUCAGGAAAGACGACCAGCCAGAGAAUGCCCUCUGCCUCAGGUUCUCAGGGCCAUUUGUAAGACCAGCCUGGCAUGUUCAGGGGCUCCCUGGGAAAGACCAGGAGUCCUGCUUGAAGGGGUGUCUGGAAGCCCAGAGCAAGGAUGAUGAGCAGGGCCUGAACCAGAACUGCAGGCCCUGAGAGACACCAAGGGUUAGGGUCGAGUGACCCUAACGUUUCACCAGGAAGGCCAGUUCCUCAGGCAAACUGCCUGGUCUGAGGUGCCCAUCUCCGAGGCACAGUAGUUGCAGAAAUGUUACUGAACCGGAUGGAACACACAGCACCAAGGCACUUGGAAGGCAACAGUUUUUUUACGGCUGUAGGCGGUUGGAAUCCAGUUUCAAACCAACAGUCCUAACUCGGGGUUAAACAAAAGCUUUUAUUGCAAACAGGAAAUACAAAAAGCUGAUAGUGGGUUAUUUUAUAAUUGGUUACCCAUGUUUUGUCGUACUUCAUUAGGCAGAUUCAUUUUGGGCAGGUUUAGUUGUGGGGGUUCUUUUUUUUUUUUUUUUUUUGUCUUUUUCCUUUUUAUCGGUACCGGGGAUCGAACUCAGGACUGCCUGCUUGCAAGGCAGGCGCUUAUGCGCUGAACUAAACCUCCAGCCCCAGCUGUGGGGGUUCUUUUAUAGUGGAAAGUCAGGGGCUUGGGUGAACAGGUAAAAGCAAUCAUGUCUUUGACUGAGAUAGUCUGUCUCCAGGUGAUAAGUCCUUGAAACAAGCUAACACAACAGGACAUGUUUACGGGCUGGGUAGUGCAGCUGGGUUAUAUGUAUCUUACAAGUUUCUACUGGCCUGAUAUGUCAAAGCUAGCUGAGUCUGACAGUUAACUGUGAGAUGGGCAGGGCCUGCAGAUCCCACCCUUAGCAUAAUGCCAGCCUGUGAGUUUUAAAGUUUGCUUCACAGUGGCUGGUGUCUGCCGCACUGUGCAUCCACACUUCCCAUAAGGACUGUUCUUCAGGUAAUGAGGUGGAUGAAUUCAACUACCACAGCCACGUUUGGAAGCCACAUUACUCCAGAUCCUUACAGAAGGUGGAACUGGCAGGGGCAGGGAAACUGUGGGGAGCCCUGGAAGUAGCUGCCACUCAUCCCAAGAGAGCCAGCCUCCACUGUAACUCAGCCUCACAGCACAGUGCACACCCACCAUAUAUACAGAUGCACAGUUGGCACACACGUGCACACUCCAGACAAACCACAUGUACACAUACUUUGUACCUGCACAACCAUGCAUAUGCAGUCAUUGUGCACACAGUAUUUCAAUUAGAUCCUACUACAUCGUUCUUCAUUCUUCCUUCAGCAAAAUCAUUCAUCAACAGCAGAAAGAAAGAAACAGAAUUCUCAGCAAUACAGUGACAUAAAAUUGCUGGGUUCCUGAUCAGGGAUGACAUGUCUGUUGUUAGUUUGUUUUGACUGAAGUUCCCUGAGUAGAAGGUAACUAGUGGAAAGAAUAGAGAGAGAAUAGCUGCCUUGACAAGAGAAGAAACCAGGAACCUGACCAAGUUUUUAUAUAAGUACCGCGCGCUGCUAACUGAUUGCGCCACUGGAGCUCUGUGACCAAGUUUUUAAAGGGCCACACUUGUCAACCUUGCUGGCCCGAAGGUGGCACUAUUGUGCUGGUAACCAAAGGACUCACUUCAAAAGAGAAAAUCUAGCAGGUGCCACGCAGUCAUAAUCCCAGCAUUCAGAAGGUCUUCAAGUCCUCCUACAGAGAAAUAGAUCAGGCUGUACCCUGUCAAGGUCCCCAAGAUGGAUGUUUCUCAGCACAAAUCCAUGACACCAACAGUUUCACCUUUAGGAGUGAGCUGAAUGGUGACCCUUAGAAGUUAUAGCUGCAUCCUGACCCCGGAAUCCAUAAAUAUUACCGUAUUCAGAGAGUCUCAGCAAAUGUAAGUAAGUCUCAAAUGAAAUGGCCUUGUGUUACAUAGAUGGGCCCUAAAUCCAAUGACAGAUGCCCAAAUAACAGAAUAAAAGAUGACAUGGGAAGAGGAGAAACCACAAGAGAUGAACACAGAUACACAGAGGUAACCACAGCCAAGAGCUCCUGGAGUCAUCAGAAGUUGGAAGAAGCCAGAAAUACAGUUUUCCCUCAGAGGCUCUUGGAGAGAGCUUGGCCAAAGUUGACUUACAGCCUUCAGAACAGUGAGAGGAUUGGGCAUAGUGGUGCAUGCCUUUAAUCUGAACACGCAAGGCCACUGGGACAGCAGGAAGACUCCCAGUCAAGACCAGCCUGCACUACAUGGUGAGACCUGUCUCAGCAACCCCCUCCCCCCAAUGCCCAUAAGAUGAUAAAUUCUAUUGCUUAAACCGA